CCUACGGGAGGCAGCAGUGGGGAAUAUUUGGCAAUGGGCGCAAGCCUGACCCAGCAACGCCGCGUGAAGGAAGAAGGCUUUCGGGUUGUAAACUUCUUUUAAGAGGGAAGAGCAGAAGACGGUACCUCUUGAAUAAGCCACGGCUAACUACGUGCCAGCAGCCGCGGUACUACGUAGGUGGCAAGCGUUGCCCGGAUUUACUGGGUGUAAAGGGCGUGUAGCCGGGCUGACAAGUCAGAUGUGAAAUUCCGGGGCGCAACACCGGAGCUGCAUUUGAAACUGUUGGUCUUGAGUAUCGGAGAGGCAGGCGGAAUUCCUAGUGUAGAGGUGAAAGGCGUAGAUAUUAGGAGGAACACCAGUGGCGAAGGCGGCCUGCUGGACGACAACUGACGGUGAGGCGCGAAAGCGUGGGGAGCAAACAGGAUUAGAUACCCUUGUAGUC
rnacentral:rRNA from 1 species